GUGAAUUAUCGAGAUACCACUCUGUGGAUCUCAAACCUCACCUAUAUCCACAAACACCUGUGCACUGUUGGUCAGAUGGAGCGAUGUCGACUUCGGUUGACAGAGCUUUUCAUCUGCCAGCGCAUUUAUACCAAACUCUGAGUUAAUUGAAUGUGAAGUUAUACUUGCCUAUUUUGGCAGAAUUAAACA
rnacentral:misc_RNA from 1 species